AUUGAACGCUGGCGGCAGGCCUAACACAUGCAAGUCGAACGAGUGGCGGACGGGUGAGUAAUGUCUGGGAAACUGCCUGAUGGCGGGGGUUAACUACUGGAAACGGUAGCUAAUACCGCAUACCAUCAGAUGUGCCCAGAUGGGAUUCUCUAGUUGGUGGGGUAACGGCUCACCAAGGCGACGAUCCCUAGCGGGUCUGAGAGGAUGACCGGCCACACGGGAACUGAGACAGGGUCCAGACUCCUACGGGAGGAAGCAGUGGGGAAUAUUGCACAAGGGGCGCAAGGCUGAUGCAGCCAUGCGGCGUGUAUGAAGAAGGCCUUCGGGUUGUAAAGUACUUUCAGCGGGGAGGCGUUACCCGAAGAGGAAGCACCGGCUAACUCCGUGCCAGCAGCCGCGGUAAUUC
rnacentral:rRNA from 1 species